UUUUUUAGGUUGCUGAAGGUAGAAGGUGCAUUAUCUUAUCAGCUGAAGGAGUUCUUCUCUUGGACUUUUAGAAAGCAUACUUUCUAUUUUCAAUGUUUUGCUAAUUCUAAGUUAACAUGUUAUUUAACUACACAAAUGCAGUUCAGAAUACACUUAAACUUAACAUGAAAAUCCAAGUAGGGGAGCUAGACGGAGUCAAGAGAGUGAUCACAGUCAACUUCAGCCUUCACAUUUGCGAGGUAUAUUGUUGGAAUAAAUGCGGUCCUUUAAUACAAUUCUAGUUUAGUGCAUCAAGUUUUAACCAAUUUAUUGCAGAAAACCCAAUCCGGUGCUCUCGGUAAUCCUCGUUUCUUUCUUCCCUGAUCCAUUUUCCCCUAUUCGGUGAUUUUUUUUAUUUAGAUUUUAUAUUUAUUUUUUUGUUAUUGGGUUGCAGUUUCGGUAAUUGGUUUAAUUAUAAUGGCUACGCUGUUUCUGCACGAGAUGGGUUACUAUCUCACAACUUAAACUGUUCAUGAGAUGUCAGUGGACUUGAAUCGUGGAGAGACUCUUCCGAUUCAUAUAAAUAUGACACUCCCUUCUUUACCUUGUGAUUUUUUGAGUGUGGAUGCUAUUGAUAUGUCGGGCAAGCAUGAGGUGGAUCUUGAUACUAACAUAUGGAAAGGACUUUAAAGCUAAACAACCUGCCCAUUGCCCCUUCAUGUUUUCCUGCCUUGUCUUCAUCUGAGGAAGAGUUAAAGAAGCACAUGGUAGAGGAGGCAGGUAGCUCACAUAAUUCUCAAGCCAUCAAAGAUUCUACAAGCUGAAAGAAUGAUACUUAUUCAAAGGUUAAAGGGCCCGAAAAGAGAGGACGGGUGCGUUGUCCUGGAAAGCUUCCAUGACAUGCCAGUUUUAGCUCCAAUGCUGAUAAUAGAGUUGCAACAUUAGAGAAUUUGCUUGGAAAUCUAAUUUCUAUUCUUCAAGUGCGAUUUUCUGAAGAUCGACAAGUUAACGAGGUCUUAUGAGUUAUAACCGAAGAGGUUUGAUUUUGUGUCACCUAUUGACCACAAUCCGGUGAAGUUCAUCUCAAGAUACUCUUCACCUCCCUUUGCUAUACAGAUGUUUACAUGAAAGUGAAGAUACAAGAAUAUUAAAAUAAAAAUAUAUGUGAUUUCUUUUGUAAGAUUUUAAGUAUAUUGAAUGAAACUUUCUAUGUUGAAAUAUUUGAAUUUAAUGUAAAAUGGGAUAAUUUUUUCA